rnacentral:rRNA from 1 species
UACGUAGGGUGCGAGCGUUAAUCGGAAUUACUGGGCGUAAAGCGUGCGCAGGCGGUUUUGUAAGUCUGACGUGAAAUCCCCGGGCUCAACCUGGGAAUUGCGUUGGAGACUGCAAGGCUGGAGUCUGGCAGAGGGGGGUAGAAUUCCACGUGUAGCAGUGAAAUGCGUAGAGAUGUGGAGGAACACCGAUGGCGAAGGCAGCCCCCUGGGUCAAGAUUGACGCUCAUGCACGAAAGCGUGGGGAGCAAACAGG